CAGGACGAACGCUGGCGGCGUGCUUAACACAUGCAAGUCGAACGAUGAUGCCCAGCUUGCUGGGUGGAUUAGUGGCGAACGGGUGAGUAACACGUGAGUAACCUGCCCCUGACUCUGGGAUAAGCGUUGGAAACGACGUCUAAUACUGGAUAUGAUCACUGGCCGCAUGGUCUGGUGGUGGAAAGAUUUUUUGGUUGGGGAUGGACUCGCGGCCUAUCAGCUUGUUGGUGAGGUAAUGGCUCACCAAGGCGACGACGGGUAGCCGGCCUGAGAGGGUGACCGGCCACACUGGGNCUGAGACACGGCCCAGACUCCUACGGGAGGCAGCAGUGGGGAAUAUUGCACAAUGGGCGAAAGCCUGAUGCAGCAACGCCGCGUGAGGGAUGACGGCCUUCGGGUUGUAAACCUCUUUUAGUAGGGAAGAAGCGAAAGUGACGGUACCUGCAGAAAAAGCACCGGCUAACUACGUGCCAGC
rnacentral:rRNA from 1 species